UACGAAGGGUGCAAGCGUUACUCGGAAUUACUGGGCGUAAAGCGUGCGUAGGUGGUUGUUUAAGUCUGCUGUGAAAGCCCUGGGCUCAACCUGGGAAUUGCAGUGGAUACUGGGCGACUAGAGUGUGGUAGAGGAUAGUGGAAUUUCCGGUGUAGCAGUGAAAUGCGUAGAGAUCGGAAGGAACAUCUGUGGCGAAGGCGACUAUCUGGGCCAACACUGACACUGAGGCACGAAAGCGUGGGGGAGCAAACAGGG
rnacentral:rRNA from 1 species